CCAGGGCGGCCCGGCAGGACCCGCCCCGGGGCGGGGGAAGCGUUCGUCACUUCCGCGGGAGAAGCCGUAGGGGCGGCGGAGCGGGAGCAGUUCUACAGUUUCUGUAAGCAUGGAAAGUAUUUCCACGAGCUUCCAUACCUAAGUAUCUUUCCACAUCAUGCAGAAGCUGAUACAUGCUGUGUGUUCUACUCCCAUUCAGAAAAAGGAAAACAUCUCUCUCUCAUGGAUUACUUUAAAUGCUUCCUGAGUAGCUUUAACAUUUGCCAUUGACAAGCAGCAAAGAAAAAUCCUCAGUUCAAGUAAAAACCAGGGUAAGUCUAUACCACAAACUCUAACAUAGUGUUGAAACACCCCAGCUGGUUUUAAAUGAGAUUUUAGGAAUCACUUAGCAAAAGCAAGACAGAUCUUUAUUCAAGCUAAUUUAACCAGGAGAUUCCUAUCUACCAAAGAGACUAAAUACAGCACUGUGCUGCCCCAGAUUGUUUGGGUUGCUUUAUGCUUGAGCUAACCCUGUUUAAAAUUAUCCACAGUUAUGAACACUACAGGCUGCAGAGGAGUUCAGUAGUGUCAUUAUGAAGCCUGUUGUCCUUGCUUGACAGAAUUUAGGAAUCAAACCCCAUAAUUUGAGCAUAUGGUGGUAAAAGGCCUAUUAUUGUGGAAAGAAGAAUUUAAAAAAAUAAUACUACUUCAAAUCUUCAGUAGUGAGUCUUUUCAUAACUUUCCAACCCCUUUAGCCUCUAGAUAAGUGAAGUGUCUCAUGUUGGUUGGAGACCAUUAAUUCUAUUGAAUUACAUUAAUGACUCAAAUUUGGAGUUUGUACAUCCAGAGAACAACAGCAUGAUUUGACCUAUUUCUGUUGGUUUAAAGAAUUCAAUGUCCACAUAUUACAUAACGUGUUACUAAUAAUAAACUACUAUACUCAGUUAGUAGGACAGCAGAUUUUACUGUGAGAUAGUAGCCAACAGGAAAAAGAAAAAAGGCAUUUGUUUUGAAAAUAUUAAAAUGAAUAUACCUUAAAUUAAAUUUGGGGAUUUGGCUUUUUUAAUUAUGUGACAGUUACUGACACAUGUAUUGUCAUUUUUCUUUCAAUGGAAAGCAUAACUAACUUCAAAUUAAUGCAGUGUCACUUAUCCUGGAACUUUGAAUGCUAUUAACUUACCUCCCACAGCAUGUAGGAUAGCUUCAGGUGCACAUGUAUCCCACUUCUUGCACCCAGGACUGGCAAAUACAUAAGCAGAUGCUUUGCCUUCUAUGAGUUGAAUGAUCUGUUAUGAAAAGAGUUGCAAUCAUUGCAAAGGAUUUAGGAAUUUAGAAAUGGGUAGAAAUAGCACCAGGAAGUGAGGAUUAAAUCUGUUUAUUUAAGUACUGAUAGUCAGGAAAGGAACACCAGCCAUUUCCUUAUUAAUAUUACAAUAAAUGCAUUAAAAUUUAGAAGCUAAACUGUAUCACCAUUCCCAGUUCAGUAUUUUUGAUUGUUAUAUAUACAGUCUAUGGGAUGAAAAUCUGCUCUCAGUUUCAGAAACAAGAAUUCGCUUCUUGUGCAUGUACUAAAAAAAAUAAAGUGGAAAAUAUAUAUAUGUUGUGUUAGUGCCUCUUUGGGCCUUGCACAUGUUGGAGAAAAGAGAUGAGAGGGUGUGUUUUUGACAGCUAUGACAGAACAGCUUUAAAACCUGUACCAAAUGAGUGUUCCCUGUAUCCAGAGAAAUUUCACAAAGGAAAUAUCACUGUAUGCUUAUAUUUUUAUCCUUUCAAAUGUGCUGCUAGGUAGUUGGAACAAAAGCUGUAUUAACACAAACAGGAGGACAUGUCCAAUAACUGAGAUUAAACUGAAUUCCCAUUUAGUCAUUCUGGUCUUACAACUUUGUAUUUUCACCCCUAAAAACAGAAUACUGGGGAAGACAGACCUCAGCCAUGAACAGCGUGGGCACUGGUACAAAUACACCUGUGCCUAAUUCUCUCAACCUCACAGCAGACUGACUGCUAGGAAGAGAAGUUGUGUGGGGUGCCACUUCCCAGUAAAACCAGAAGAUUGGGAGUUUUCAUACCUUGUUUCCUGCUCCUCCAACUCUGAUGACAUGGUCUGGGUUCAAG